rnacentral:rRNA from 1 species
GACGAACGCUGGCGGCGUGCUUAACACAUGCAAGUCGAACGAAGUGGCGAACGGGUGAGUAACGCGUAAUCAACCUGCCCUUCAGAGGGGGAUAACAGUUUGAAACGACUGCUAAUACCGCAUACUGAAGGAGGUGCUUGCGUGUGAUUAGCUAGUUGGAGGGGUAAUGGCCCACCAAGGCGAAGAUCAGUAGCCGGUCUGAGAGGAUGAACGGCCAAAUUGGGACUUAGAAAAGGCCAAGAAUCCUAAGGGAGGCAGCAGUGGGGAAUCUUCCGCAAUGGACGAAAGUCUGACGGAGCAACGCCGCGUGAGUGAUGACGGCCUUCGGGGUGUAAAGCUCUGUUAAGCGGGACGCGGUACCGGAAUAGAAAGCCACGGCUAACUACGUGCCAGCAGCCGCGGUAAUUC